rnacentral:piRNA from 1 species
UCCAGUCGAGCUGAGGUUGUGAACCCCGGU